GGGGGAUAAAUUAAUAAAGUAUAAAUAAUAAAAAAAUUUUUAAUAUUAAAAUAUUUUAAUGGGGGUUAAAGUAUAUUUAAUAGAAAAAAUAAAAAAAUUUAUAGAAAAUUAGUAUUGUAAAAGAAAUUUGAAAUAAAUUGAAAAUAAAUUUAUUUUUAAGUAAAUUUAAUUUAUUGUAUCUUGUGUAUCAGAGUUUAUUAAUAAUAAUUUUUUUUUAAAAAUUUCUCGAAUUUAAAAGAGAUAAUUAGUUAUUAAAGUUAAUGUUGUAUAAUUAUUUUAAAUAAUUAAUUUGAAAUGAAAUGUUAAUCGUUUUUAAAUAUAUCUAGUUUUUUUAGAAAAAAAUUUAAUUUUAAAUUUUAAAAAAUAUAAUUUUAAUUAAUUAAAAUUAUAUUUUUAAAAUUAAAUAUUUUAAGGGAUAAGCUUUAAAAUAAAUUUUUAUAAUAAAUUUUAAUAAUAAUUAAGAUUUUUAAAAUUUAUAUUGUUUAUAAAUUAUAAUUUUUUAUAAAUAAUUUUAAUUAAAUUAAAAUUUUAAAAUUUAUUUAAUUUUUUAUAAAAAAAUAUUUUUUAAUAAUUAAAAUUUAGAUAUAAUGAUAAAAUUAGUAUAUAAAUAAAUAAAUAUAGUUUAUUAUUUGAUAAUUUAAAAAAAGGAAUUCGGCAAAAAUUUAUAUUCACUUGUUUAUCAAAAACAUGUCUUUUUGAUUAAUAAUUUAAAGUCUAAUCUGCCCACUGAUAAUAUAUUAAAGGGCUGCAGUAUUUUGACUGUACAAAGGUAGCAUAAUCAUUAGUCUCUUAAUUGGUGACUUGUAUGAAAGAUUUGAUGAAAUAUAUACUGUCUUUUUUUAAUUUAUAAAAUUUAAUUUUUUAGUUAAAAAGCUAAAAUAAAUUUAAAAGACGAGAAGACCCUAUAGAGUUUUAUAUUUAUAUAAAUUAAAAUUUUUUAUAAGAUUUAAAAUUUUAAUUUAUGUAAAUAUUUUAUUGGGGUGAUAGAAAAAUUGGAAUAACUUUUUUUAUAAUUUUACAUUAAUAAAUGAAUAAAUGAUCCGUAAUUUACGAUUAUAAGAUAAAAUUACCUUAGGGAUAACAGCGUAAUUUUUUUUUUUAGUUCAAAUAAGAAAAAAAGUUUGCGACCUCGAUGUUGGAUUAAGAUAAAAUUUAAAUGCAAAAGUUUAAAAUUUUUGAUCUGUUCGAUCAUUAAAAUCUUACAUGAUCUGAGUUCAAACCGGUGUAAGCCAGGUUGGUUUCUAUCUUUAGAUUAAUAAAAUAUUUUAGUACGAAAGGAUCAAAUAUUUAAAAUAGUUUUAUUUAAAAGAAUUUUAAUAAUAAUAAAUAUUUUUAAAUAUG
rnacentral:rRNA from 1 species